rnacentral:rRNA from 2 species
UUUGACCUCGGAUCAGGUAGGAAUACCCGCUGAACUUAAGCAUAUCAAUAAGCGGAGGAAAAGAAACCAACAGGGAUUGCCCCAGUAACGGCGAGUGAAGCGGCAACAGCUCAAAUUUGAAAUCUGGCCCCCAGGGCCCGAGUUGUAAUUUGUAGAGGAUGCUUUUGGCGCGGUGCCUUCCGAGUUCCCUGGAACGGGACGCCAUAGAGGGUGAGAGCCCCGUCUGGUUGGACACCUAGCCUCUGUAAAGCUCCUUCGACGAGUCGAGUAGUUUGGGAAUGCUGCUCUAAAUGGGAGGUAUAUGUCUUCUAAAGCUAAAUACCGGCCAGAGACCGAUAGCGCACAAGUAGAGUGAUCGAAAGAUGAAAAGCACUUUGAAAAGAGGGUUAAAUAGUACGUGAAAUUGUUGAAAGGGAAGCGUUUGUGACCAGACUUGGGCCCGGUUGAUCAUCCACCGUUCUCGGUGGUGCACUCUGCCGGCCCAGGCCAGCAUCAGUUCGCGCCGGGGGAUAAAGGCUUCGGGAAUGUGGCUCCUCCCGAAUUGUUAUAGCCCGUUGUGUAAUACCCUAGGUGCGGACUGAGGUNCGCGCUCCGCAAGNAUGCNNGCGNAAU